AUUCUAAACCACGCAGGGUACAGGGUGCUGUUAGUGCCGUCCUAGGAAAUGAAUGCAAGUAUUACAUAGAGCGUAUGCCUCAAAUUACUCGACCAGGCUUUGCUGUCAUGGGAAAAGUGACUCUCUACCCACAGAGAAAUCCCUAAGUCCGGCGACGCCUGCUUGGUGCAGAAAUCCCCUCCUGAGGACAAGCUUCAGCCGUCUAUUUUGCCACAUGAAACCAAUCCUACCAGGAUAACAACAGUUGAGUGGAGCUUGAGUGCCCGAGGAUGUGAGGAAAAGGACACCCAAGAGAUGUUAACGUCAAACGGACUACGGAACUCUCAAACGGACUAAGGAACUAACUCUGUAUGGGACUGUCGGGGGUUCAGGACGUAAAGAUACUAAAUAAAGAAGCAGUGCUCUAGUCCGAGUUCAGCC
rnacentral:lncRNA from 1 species